CUAGCCUACGGGAGGCAGCAGUAGGGAAUCUUCCACAAUGGACGAAAGUCUGAUGGAGCAACGCCGCGUGAGUGAAGAAGGGUUUCGGUAUGUAAACUUCUAUCAGCAGGGAAGAAAAUGACGGUACCUGACUAAGAAGCCCCGGCUAACUACGUGCCAGCAGCCGCGGUAAUACGUAGGGGGCAAGCGUUAUCCGGAUUUACUGGGUGUAAAGGGAGCGUAGGCGGUGCAGCAAGUCAGAAGUGAAAGCCCGGGGCUCAACUCCGGGACUGCUUUUGAAACUGUUGAACUAGAUUGCAGGAGAG
rnacentral:rRNA from 1 species